GUUUACGGCCAUACCACCCUAAACACACCCAAUUUCGUCUGAUCUCGGAAGCUAAGCAGGGUCAGGCCUGGUUAGUACUUGGAUGGGAGACUGCAGUGACUUUCUUAAGGACAAAUUCAACAGUCAGAGUAAGCU
ensembl:rRNA 5S_rRNA 5S ribosomal RNA